GACACAGAAAAUGAGAUGACCUAGUUCCCUGAAGGAUAUGCCAGUGAAAUCCAUACUUUGACAGGAAAUAUCAACCAGAAAAAGCUUCAAAUGGCCCGGACAGCAGACUGGACGUCUGUCAUCUGACGAUCAGCCUCGAUAAUUUUGGAGGCCCUCCCCACCACUUUGGCUGUACAGUAGUUUUUCCAAGUCAGGAGCUAUGGACUGGGAGUUUCUUCACCAACAAAAUCAUGGCUAAUUUGCUUUUUCUUAGGCAAAAUCUUUUCAUUUUUAUAUUCUCAAGUAAUUUAUUUUGUUUCCAAAAGUCACUUCUGUUUAUUUGAUAAUUAGAACAUUUUCUCCUCUGCUUGAGAUAAAAAUGUUAUUUUUUUCUUUCAAAAAUUUCCAAUGAUUUAUGUUUAGAUUGCUAAUCCAGUUAAAAUUUAUGGUGGUGCUUUCUACCAUUUUGUUGUUGAACUGUUAUUCAACUUUCCCCAUCUUUUUUAUUAACUAGUGACUCUCUUCACUAUUGUUUUGUGAUCUUGGGUUUUAUCAAAUUCCAAUCUCUGAUACAUAUUUGGUUCUAUUUAGGAUUCUCUGUUCUGUUCCAUUGUUUGUUCUUUUUUUUACAUCUAGUACUAUAUAGUUAGAAAUAAUUACCACUGUAUAAUAUAUUUUGUAUUCUGGGAGGGUCAGUUCCUCUUCACUGACUUUAUUAUGGUUCACAGUUGUCUUUAAUAUUCUUGACCUCUGUUACAUUUUGUCAGCCUUUUAUCAAAUUAUAUACAUAGUUCAUCAGUAUUUUGAUUGGGAUUACAUUGAAUAGAUAUAAAUUAAUUUAAGAAGCAUUAUGUAUGCUGAAGACAAUUACUCAAUUUAGUCAAAUCAUUUAAAAGUUAUCUUUAAAUGUAGGUGUUAAAUAUUUCUUGGUAGGUAAUUGAUAAGUAAUUGUGAACAAAUGUUGGACAUGUUUGUCUUUCAAUUUUUCUUGUGUUCUGUAAGUGAUACAUAAGAAUGCAGAAUAGGUUUUAUGUUAUAUAGCACUACCUUGCAUUAAUUAUCUCUCAUUUUGUUGUUUAGUCUCUUGAAAGUAGAGGUUUUUGAAGUGUUUUCAUUGCCAAUGCAUAUUCUUUAAUUUCUUCCCCAUUCUUUAUUGUUAACAUUUCUACAACUGUCGUAUAGAAUGAAUGAAAAUGGACAAACUUGGUUUCAUCUUGUUUUUAUUGGGAAUUACCUUAACGUGAAGUCGUUAUCAUUCACAUUGUGGUGCCUAUGCUGGUAGCGUUUGGUUUCAAAUAGACACUUUUUUAUCGUAUUGAGGAAAAACUCUUUCUGUUGUACUUUUGAAUGCUUUUUAAACAUUCAUAAACAGAUGCAGUCUUUUAUUUAGACAGCUCUGUUUGAUGGAAUUUUAACUAUUGGUAAGAUUAUUGGUUUUAAAGGAUUUUUUUGUUGUGUGGUAUGAUUUUGAUUUCCCAAUAUUGAAUCAUCCAUCUUUUGUAUUUCUGAUAACACUCCUACUUGAUUGUAAUGACUUUUGGGGAUGGGGGGUGGGAAUAUUGAUGUAUUUAUUUUGUAGUCAUUUAGUGUUUUCAAAUCAGUAUUCGUGACAUUGGCUUGUAAUUUGUUUUUUAUCUUUACUUUUGUGAAAUUGUGUAUCAAAACUACAUUUGCCCCAUGAGAAGAAUUACCAUAGAAACUUUGUCUACAUUAUAGAUAACUUGUUCUUUGAUGGUUUCAGAUAAUUUGCUUAAGUUUUUGGAAUCCAGUGCCUUUUUACAGGGAAGCUCAUGAACAGUCAUUUCUCUUUCUGAAAUUGGUUUGUGUAGCAUACCUAUGUUCUCUUUUUCCCCUGAGUUGGGGUUUUUUUAAAAAUUUAUUUGUAGACAUUUAUCCUUAUCAUCAAAUAUGUUAGCAUAAUUUUAUGUAUAGUAAUCCCCUGCUGCUUUAUUUUGUGUUUACUGUGAUUUUUCAAUUUUAGUUUGGUGAAGUUGAGUUUUUUUUAUUGCAUUUGCUAGUUAUUUAUCAGUUGUUUCCAUCUUGGUUGUUUGUCAUUUCAGUUGGUUUUGUCCUCUAUUAAUUUCUCCUCUGACCCCUCUUUUCCACUUUCCUGUGUGUUGUUUUGUUUCUUUUCUGUUUUCUUUAAAUGUAGAUUUAAUUCAUUGUUUCUUUUCCCCUUUUGUUAAACACCAAUACAAAAUGCCCUCUAAGUAUAGAUCAUGUUUUGUAAUACACAGUAUUUAUAUUGUUAUUAUUUUUUAAGUAGUCUGUUAUUUUUAUAACUUCGUUUUUAACCCAGGCAAGGUUUAAUAAAUUAUUUCUUUUAAUCUCCAAAAAUACCUAUUACUUUCCCUCUAUAUUAUUGUUUCUGGUUUCUAGUUUUAUUGAAUUACUGUCCAUUAAAAGUUUCACCUUUCUAAAUGUACCUGGGACUUUGCUAUAAUCAACGACAUGAUCAAUUUUUAUGAAUGUUCCACAUCUACUGAGGAGGGAAAAAAAUAUGUUCCUUGCUUUUUUCAUUAAAUUUUUUUCCUAUAGAUUUAUUAAAUUCAGUUUCUUAGUGUUCAA